UAUCAAUAAGCGGAGGAAAAGAAACUAACAAGGAUUCCCCUAGUAACGGCGAGUGAAGAGGGAAAAGCCCAAAUUUGUAAUCUGGCUCUUUUUAUAAGGGUCCGAGUUGUAAUUUUGAGAACUGUUUUCUGUGCUGGACCAUGUACAAGUCUGUUGAAAAACAGCAUCAUUGAGGGUGAAAAUCCCGUACAUGAUAUGGACUACCAGGGCAAUAUGAUACAGUCUCUAAGAGUCGAGUUGUUUGGGAAUGCAGCUCAAAGUGGGUGGUAAAUUCCAUCUAAGGCUAAAUAUAGGUGAGAGACCGAUAGCAAACAAGUACCGUGAGGGAAAGAUGAAAAGAACUUUGGAAAGAGAGUUAACAGUACGUGAAAUUGCUAAAAGGGAAACAGUUAAAGUUAGACUUGUUAUUGUUGGAUCAGCUUCUUUAUUGAGGUGUACUCUGAUGAUUAACAGACCAGCAUCAAUUUUUGAGUGUUGGAUAAGGGUUUUGGGAAUGUGGCAGCUUUGGUUGUGUUAUAGACCAUUACUUUGAUACAAUGCUUAGGAUUGAGGAACGCAGUAAGCUUUGUUGCAGAUUUUUUCGGAAAUCUCCUUGCUACGGAUGUUGGUGUAAUAGCUUUAAAUGACCCG
rnacentral:rRNA from 1 species